GGACGAACGCUGGCGGCGUGCUUAACACAUGCAAGUCGAACGGAAAGGCCCUGCUUGCAGGGUACUCGAGUGGCGAACGGGGGAGUAACACGUGGGUGAUCUGCCCUGCACUUCGGGAUAAGCCUGGGAAACUGGGUCUAAUACCGGAUAGGAGCCAUUUUUAGUGUGAUGGUUGGAAAGUUUUUUCGGUGUAGGAUGAGCUCGCGGCCUAUCAGCUUGUUGGUGGGGUAAUGGCCUACCAAGGCGGCGACGGGUAGCCGGCCUGAGAGGGUGGACGGCCACAUUGGGACUGAGAUACGGCCCAGACUCCUACGGGAGGCAGCAGUGGGGAAUAUUGCACAAUGGGCGCAAGCCUGAUGCAGCGACGCCGCGUGGGGGAUGACGGCCUUCGGGUUGUAAACUCCUUUCGCUAGGGACGAAGCUUUUUGUGACGGUACCUAGAUAAGAAGCACCGGCUAACUACGUG
rnacentral:rRNA from 1 species